CUACGGGUUGCAGCAGUGGGGAAUAUUGGACAAUGGGGGAAACCCUGAUCCAGCAAUGCCGCGUGUGUGAAGAAGGCCUGCGGGUUGUAAAGCACUUUCGGUUGGGAGGACUGCUUCUAGCACUAAUAUUGUUGGAAGUUGACGUUACCUUCAGAAGAAGCAUCGGCUAACUCCGUGCCAGCAGCGCGCGGUAAUACGGAGGGUGCAAGCGUUAAUCGGAAUUACUGGGCGUAAAGCGCGCGUAGGCGGCUAGAUCAGUCGGGUGUGAAAGCCCCGGGCUUAACCUGGGAACUGCAUCCGAUACUGUCUAGCUUGAGUACAGGAGAGGAGAGUGGAAUUCCACAUGUAGCGGUGAAAUGCGUAGAUAUGUGGAGGAACACCAAUGGCGAAGGCAGCUCUCCGGCCUGGUACUGACGCUGAGGUGCGAAAGCGUGGGGAGCAAACAGGAUUAGAUACCCCUGUAGUC
rnacentral:rRNA from 1 species